UGGGGAAUAUUGCACAAUGGGCGCAAGCCUGAUGCAGCCAUGCCGCGUGUAUGAAGAAGGCCUUCGGGUUGUAAAGUACUUUCAGCGGGGAGGAAGGGAGUAAAGUUAAUACCUUUGCGCAUUGACGUUACCCGCAGAAGAAGCACCGGCUAACUCCGUGCCAGCAGCCGCGGUAAUACGGAGGGUGCAAGCGUUAAUCGGAAUUACUGGGCGUAAAGCGCACGCAGGCGGUUUGUUAAGUCAGAUGUGAAAUCCCCGGGCUCAACCUUGGAACUGCAUCUGAUACUGGCAAGCUUGAGUCUCGUAGAGGGGGGUAGAAUUCCAGGUGUAGCGGUGAAAUGCGUAGAGAUCUGGAGGAAUACCGGUGGCGAAGGCGGCCCCCUGGACGAAGACUGACGCUCAGGUGCGAAAGCGUGGGGAGCAAACAGG
rnacentral:rRNA from 1 species